AACAAACGCUGGCGGCGUGCCUAAUACAUGCAAGUCGAACGGGGAAAGCUUUCGGGUGAGUACUAGUGGCGCACGGGUGAGGAACGCGUGGAUAAUCUGCCUUAGAGUGGGGGAUAACUAGUCGAAAGAUUAGCUAAUACCGCAUAAGACCACAGGAGCUGCGGCUCUAGGGGUCAAAGGUUUUUCGCUCUAAGAUGAGUCCGCGUAGGAUUAGCUAGUUGGUGAGGUAACGGCUCACCAAGGCGACGAUCUUUAACUGGUCUGAGAGGAUGAUCAGUCACACUGGAACUGAGACACGGUCCAGACUCCUACGGGAGGCAGCAGUAGGGAAUAUUGCACAAUGGAGGAAACUCUGAUGCAGCGACGCCGCGUGAGUGAUGAAGGCCUUCGGGUCGUAAAGCUCUGUCGCAGGGGAAUAACACAAUGAAUGUACCCUGUAAGAAAGGAUCGGCUAACUUCGUGCCAGCCGCCGCGGUAACAC
rnacentral:rRNA from 1 species